rnacentral:rRNA from 1 species
ACGCUUCUUUUUCCACCGGAGCUUGCUCCACCGGAAAAAGAGGAGUGGCGAACGGGUGAGUAACACGUGGGUAACCUGCCCAUCAGAAGGGGAUAACACUUGGAAACAGGUGCUAAUACCGUAUAACAAUCGAAACCGCAUGGUUUUGAUUUGAAAGGCGCUUUCGGGUGUCGCUGAUGGAUGGACCCGCGGUGCAUUAGCUAGUUGGUGAGGUAACGGCUCACCAAGGCCACGAUGCAUAGCCGACCUGAGAGGGUGAUCGGCCACAUUGGGACUGAGACACGGCCCAAACUCCUACGGGAGGCAGCAGUAGGGAAUCUUCGGCAAUGGACGAAAGUCUGACCGAGCAACGCCGCGUGAGUGAAGAAGGUUUUCGGAUCGUAAAACUCUGUUGUUAGAGAAGAACAAGGAUGAGAGUAACUGUUCAUCCCUUGACGGUAUCUAACCAGAAAGCCACGGCUAACUACGUGCCAGCAGCCGCGGUAAUACGUAGGUGGCAAGCGUUGUCCGGAUUUAUUGGGCGUAAAGCGAGCGCAGGCGGUUUCUUAAGUCUGAUGUGAAAGCCCCCGGCUCAACCGGGGAGGGUCAUUGGAAACUGGGAGACUUGAGUGCAGAAGAGGAGAGUGGAAUUCCAUGUGUAGCGGUGAAAUGCGUAGAUAUAUGGAGGAACACCAGUGGCGAAGGCGGCUCUCUGGUCUGUAACUGACGCUGAGGCUCGAAAGCGUGGGGAGCAAACAGGAUUAGAUACCCUGGUAGUCCACGCCGUAAACGAUGAGUGCUAAGUGUUGGAGGGUUUCCGCCCUUCAGUGCUGCAGCUAACGCAUUAAGCACUCCGCCUGGGGAGUACGACCGCAAGGUUGAAACUCAAAGGAAUUGACGGGGGCCCGCACAAGCGGUGGAGCAUGUGGUUUAAUUCGAAGCAACGCGAAGAACCUUACCAGGUCUUGACAUCCUUUGACCACUCUAGAGAUAGAGCUUCCCCUUCGGGGGCAAAGUGACAGGUGGUGCAUGGUUGUCGUCAGCUCGUGUCGUGAGAUGUUGGGUUAAGUCCCGCAACGAGCGCAACCCUUAUUGUUAGUUGCCAUCAUUCAGUUGGGCACUCUAGCAAGACUGCCGGUGACAAACCGGAGGAAGGUGGGGAUGACGUCAAAUCAUCAUGCCCCUUAUGACC